CACACGACUCUCGGCAACGGAUAUCUCGGCUCUCGCAUCGAUGAAGAACGUAGCGAAAUGCGAUACCUGGUGUGAAUUGCAGAAUCCCGCGAACCAUCGAGUCUUUGAACGCAAGUUGCGCCCGAGGCCAUCCGGCNGAGGGCACGCCUGCCUGGGCGUCACA
rnacentral:rRNA from 1 species